CCCUAAAUCUUGUCAUGCAACGUCUGUGGGGGAUUUUCACCCAAUUUCAUGCUGCAACGUGGUCUAUAAAAUUAUUGCCAAGAUCUUCGUUACUAGGUUGGUCCCACACCUUGAUGGCAUUAUUGAUCAAGUUCAAUUUGCUUUUGUCCAAGGCCGUAACUUGGCUGAGAAUGUCCAGCUUGCCCAAGAGCUUUUAAGAAAGUACUCAAGGAAAAGGAUCUCGCCUAGAUGCUCUAUUAAAAUUAACCUUCAUAAGGCAUUUGACUCUAUUUCCUAGAGUUUCCUUAGGCAUGUUUUGGAAGGCCUAGGGUUUCCGCCCUUUUUUGUUCGGUGGGUGUUUGAAUGCGUCUAUACUCUUAUUCAUUGAUCAUCAAUGGAUCCGUGCAUGGUUUCUUUCAGGGCAGAAGAGGUAUGCGGCAAGGGCUAACAUUCCAUCAAUUAGAAUUAUCAUGGAAUGCCUUCGGGAUGUUGGUGCGAAGUCAGGGCUUCAUGCUAAUGCCCUUAAGUCCAUUAUUUUCACAACUGGGGUGACUGACCAGGAUCUUCUCCAGAUACUUAGUAUGACGAGCUUCACUAAAGGGUCUGUGCCAUUUCGCUAUCUUGGUAUUCCUUUGGCUGCUGCUAAGUUAAAGGUCAGUCACUUUGCUUCGCUGGUGGACAGAAUUUCUGAUUGCACUAAGACGUGGAACAUGGUCUUUUAUGCUAGCCGAGUGGAGCUUAUUCGAGAUGUUAUCCAAGGAAUCCAAGGGUUCUGGCUAUCCAUUAUUUCCAUUCCAGCUACUGUCAUCGAGAGAAUUAAUAGAAUUUACGGGCUCUUUCUAUGGAGUUCUAAGUCCUUUCUUGUGGCUUGGUCAUCCAUUUGCCUCCCGAGGAAUGAAGGUGGACUCUUUUCCAAAGUCCUCUGGAACAUCCAUAUCAAAAAGGACUCUCUUUGGAUUAGGUGGAUCGAUCAUCACUAUCUUUUUUCCUCAUCUAUAUGGGAGCGACUGGUUAAGAAAGAUGACUCGGCUCCUUUUAAAUGGUUGCUGGAUAUUAGGAACAUGAUAUGUCAUCGAUAGGGGUCAGUUGCUGCAACCAUUUCUUUGUUGGCUAGCUAGGUUCGUGGGAUUGAUGUGCACCUUCCUACUACAUAUGAUUUUUUUUGCCCUAA